ensembl:rRNA 5S_rRNA 5S ribosomal RNA
GCCAGCAGCCAUAUCACUCUGCAACUCAAAACUGGCAACCCACUGAAGUUAAGCAGGUGUGAGCCUGGUCAGUACCUGGAUGGGAGACCUCCUGGGAAAAACUAAGCUAAGGUUGCUGCUGGAA